rnacentral:rRNA from 1 species
UACGGAGGAUCCGAGCGUUAUCCGGAUUUAUUGGGUUUAAAGGGAGCGUAGGUGGAUUGUUAAGUCAGUUGUGAAAGUUUGCGGCUCAACCGUAAAAUUGCAGUUGAAACUGGCAGUCCUGAGUACAGUAGAGGUGGGCGGAAUUCGUGGUGUAGCGGUGUAAUGCUUAGAUAUCACGAAGAACUCCGAUUGCGAAGGCAGCUCACUGGACUGCAACUGACACUGAGGCUCGAAAGUGUGGGUAUCAAACAGG